CUAGACCUGGGGGCGGGGUCAUUAUCCACAGACUAUAAUGCCGCUUCUGGCAGCAUCUCUACUGGCUCCUUUUUAUCCACUGGCAGUGGUGUCAAGGUGAUGGACUUCCGGAAUUGGCUCCCAGGAUGGUGUCCAGACAUUGGUUCCUGGCACUCCUCACCAUUUUCGGACAUGGACACUGCUUCUCCAGAUCAGUGCUGCUGCUGCCCUUUCACCUUCAUCCAGGGCUCUGCUUGGGUUUCUUGGAGGAGACGCUAUCCUUACCCGCCACCCCCACCCCAGGCCAUCGUGUCCUUUCACUUUCUCGUCUCCUGCCAAAAUUCCUGGCUCCCUAAGCCAGGAACUGAGGCAAGAAGCAGGAAGUGAUGGAACCAGGGCCCGCAGUACCUGCUGAGACAGAAACCGUAUCCCUGCCCAGCACCGUUUUCGCUACCACGUGGCCUCUGCUUCAGGCCAGGAGAGAGUCCUAUUUGAAAGUCAGAAGAGCAGUUACAGACAAAAAAAUGCAAGGUUUUUUUUCUUUUUUCUUUUUUCUUUGAAGAAGAGUUGAAUACAUGAAUACAUGGCAGAGUGUUUUACAACAGGAGGUCUUCCUUUUUUGCAAGAAGUUCCUACAAUACACGAGUUUGGUGAAGUCAUC